GUUCAAAACUCUCUGAAUCCAGGGAGGGUGCCUGUGGAUAGGAAACAAUGAAUGCAAUGCUCUUUUUCAAGAAAGUGGAAAAGGAAGUAAUGGAAAACUAUAGAUCAAGUAACUGAACAUUUGUUAUUGAGAAUAUGCUGGAGACUUUAAUCAAGAUUAAUUCAAUUUCAUGGAUAAUAAAUGGAAGGAAAUGCUAAGCUAUUAUGUCCUGCACUAUAAAAUUUCCAAAGGCUGAAUGAGAGAUUGAUUUCAGAAGGCACAGUUUUCAACAAAUGCAGUGAGAUGGAUGGGCUUGGUGUAGUGAUAUCAGCUUCUCAGCAUCAGAUCGAAUACUGUCUCAUUGAAUCCAGUCUCAGAUCCACACAUUCUGAAACUUGCAGCUGUUCAUUGCUUCGAAAAAUGUUGGAUGACUGCACUGAAACUGCAUUCCCCUAAAUAUGAUAUUGGAAAGGCAAUAAAGAACAUCUUGACAUUCUUCCACAAUACAUGAUAGCAUCAACAGAUUUCUUUCUACAUGACAUGAUUUUUUGAAUCUCAACUUCAGCUCAAAGUUAUUUUGUAACUAGAUCAGUUCAGCUUUCAUCCUUACUGUUAUUUCCUCAUUACAAGUGUUCAGGAAUCGAUUUAUUAGCCAAUCUGGAAUUUGGAUCGUGAGAAGAUCCUGAAAUCUCUCUGACAUGUUUUUUUGCAGCUCACCCAAGUGGGCACAGUAUACUUGAAGAUCAUCAUCUGGAAUUCUUUCUUUCUCUUCCAACUCAGAAAGGCCCAAAAAUUGGAAAAGGUUGUGAUGGCCAAUGUUGCGCUUAAAUAGUUUCCUUGGACAGCAAUAUGGACAUGACUGAUUUGACUUUAAUGAGAUUCAAAUCACUUCCUUGUAAUCAAACGCUAAUUUUAUAAAAUUUUGC